rnacentral:lncRNA from 1 species
CACAAAUCAACAAAAAUUCACUCAAAUAUUUCCAAUUCGCAGCAACUGAUUUACUUCACUCAUUCAAGCUGGUAAUUUUAAUAACUUUUGAAAAGUUAUUUCAUUUCAAGCAUAUCAACAAUUUUCUGCAUUUUCGCCAAAACCAAGGCUAAACAUCAAAAACUUUGUUUUCAAAAUCCAAUCAUGCAUACAUCUAUUCUUCUGUAAUUUAUAUAUAUAUUGCUAAAUACAUGAAAAAGAAAAUAGAAAUAGAAGGGAUGGGAAUUGUUGGUGAGCGGAUGCUGGACAGCCGGUGAAGCGCGACAUCGACAACCCCUAUGUUGAUGGCCGCCGGACUGAGGGCGCGAAGCAGGAGACAGGGGCGGCGGCGCUGUAGUCUCGGGUCGCCGGAGAAGGCGCGGCCGCGGUUGCAGCUGGUGCGGCGAGGACAGGGGCAGGAGGAGAGUGAGAGGGAGACUAGAGGUGAGGACAAGGAGAGAGGGCGGCGGCGGCAGUACUGGAAGGGGAGGCGGCUGGGCGCGCCUCUGUCGACACUGGGACGGCGGUGGUGGCAUUGCGUUCGGCCAAGAGAGAGGAAGGAGGAGGAGUCGCCGGCCUCCGGCCGCGGCUUGGCGCGACGAGGAGAGGCAAGAGACCGAGGGAGAGAGGGAAGGAGGGAGAAGUGGAGCAGCUGUGGGCGUGAGCUAUGUGUGUUGUGGUGUGAGUUAGAUUAGGGAUUUAAGGGAGAGAAGGAAAUAUGGGCUUAGGAAUGGGCUCAGAUUAAUUAAGUAAUUGGGCUGCAUUUAUUUUGCUCUGGGCUGCAUAAUUCUUUUAAUUAAAUUGGACUUGGUAUUUUUUUUUACACUAACCCAAAUUUUAAAGAAACAUGCAUCUCAUUAUUUAUUUCAUUUUAUUAUAUUUAAUGGAUUAAGAAUUUUAUAAAUCAAAUACUCAAGUUUUAAUUAAAUAAAUAUCAACCCACCCAUAUUUUUUUAUAAGAAAAUAUAUUUUACUACUUAAAUUUAUUAGAUCAAUUAUUUUUAAAUGAUCCUAUAGUUUAUAUUAUUUUCCUAAAAGUUCAAAUAGGCCCUUAUGUAUUAUUAUUUGAAUUUAUAUGACUAGGUGCGGCGCGACUAGGACAUAACUGUUGAUCUGAAAUUAUUCAAGUUAUCUAUCAAAUCCAUAUUUUCAGGUGUGGGAUUUAUUUCAGUACAUGCACGUGGUUAAUAUUUGUCCAUUUUAAUAUUAUGUGUUUACCGUAUGUGUUGUAAAAAAUAUUUAUCGCUAGGGGCCAGCAUAAUUGGUCCAGGACUUCACCGUCCUUGGUAUGCCACAAUGCGAUUUCAUGUUACAGGGUUGCAACCAUUAUAUUGUCGCCAGGGGCCCACAUAUAGGGUCCGGGACAUUAAAGUCCUUGGAUUGCCACAGUGCGUAUGGAAUUUAUGUUACGUUAUGACAAUAUGUGUUACCAUUUUAUUAACAUGGACAAUUAUUGCAUGUUUCCACACUGAGUGUACCCUGUAUGCUCAUCCCAUAUUCAACAGUUUCAGGUGAUUGAUAUCGGAGACGCGUGGAGAGUCGAAUGGGCGCGUCGAAUCUAUUUAAAGAUAAAUGUUUCCUAAAACAUAUUAUGUUAUUUCAUGUGAUAUCUCUUGAUUAUGUAAACUCUGAAAUUCUAUACUAUUUGAGAUUUGUGUGUG